rnacentral:sRNA from 1 species
AUAAUAUAUAUGGUGGCACAGUAUUCUAGUCAGAUUCCACCGCUCGGAGACGGGGUUAAAAUAUCGUCGAAGGGCAUAUCUGUGAAGUUCCUGGUGAUGGCUUCUUUUGCCCAAAUUGGGGCUGUUGCUGGGAGUUAAGGAUUUUGGGCGGCUUGCAACGGCAUGCGAACCCCGACCCAAUUUCCGUGGAGACCCAACUCGGUAGGAGGUUUAAUACCCUCGCUACUGACUGGGACAUGAACCUGUUUUGCGGUGUGCUUUGCGCGCUGUGGGCAGAGUAGCCUGCUUUGAGUGGAAUGUAGGGAUUAAGGAACACGAAGUAUAGUAAUGGCCAUUGCGACGCUUCGAUUGCCUUAUGAAAUACACUUUGCAAAAAAAGAUAAGGGUGGACGGAAUCUGUCAAGGAAAACUUCUAGACUGUUCUUUGAGACGGCUUGGGGAUUAUAGUGUAUUCUAAGUGGCGAUUCGGUUCUUGUUGGGAAACCGCAAGUGCGCAGAGUAAUUGGAAACAUCUUGGACGGCGACGACGAGUUUCUGCGUAGGGAAAUCCUACCGAACCUAUGGUGCAAGGUUUACCCAAGUUGUUGCCACCAUACCCC